GAGCAUGUCGUAAAGCCCACCCGCGUUAGCACCGAGUAAACAAGUCGUCGCCAAUGGCAGAUUAACCGCGUUAUAUUUCUCAUUUUUGAAUAUGGAUUAUUUAUUCUGGCUCCACGUUCAGCUGAGCAGGGUCGUUUUUUAUACCGUGGUGAACUUUGUGAAUGUUUUAGAGGAGCCAGAAGAUGAGUAGACCCACAGCAAUACAAGCUCGAAAAUGACAACAAACAGCAACGAAGGACACUCACUGGUGCUGGAGGUGAGCCCAGACAUCCACAUCUGUGGCUUCUGCAAACAGCAGUACAAUAAUUUUGAGGUCUUUCUCGCCCACAAGCAAAAUGGCUGUGCCUUACACACCGCUGACCCAUCAGUCACUACUGCAGCUCUCAAAGAUUCCAACACAGAGUUUAUUUUCGAGGAAACCUACCACACCUGUGUCAUGAGAGGUGUCAAAAAGAUCCUGACCAAAGCACAGAAAACACCUUCCAGAAAAUUAAAACCUACCCUGACUUCAAAGAGACACAGCUGCUGUUUCUCGGGUUGCACUUUUAAAACACAAUAUGGCCAAAAAGACAUGGAGCGGCAUCUCAAAACCCACACCGGUGAGAAGCCAUUUGAAUGUGAGCUGUGCCACAAGCGAUUUGGCCGGCGGGACAAGCUCAACAUGCACAGUCGCUUACACACAGGCGAGAAGCCGCAUAAGUGUAAACACUGUCCCUAUGCAGCAGCAGACAGCAGCAGUCUGAAGAAGCACCUCCGUAUCCACUAUGAUGAACGGCCGUUUAAAUGCCAGAUCUGUCCUUAUGCUAGCCGAAACUCCAGCCAGCUCACUGUGCACCUCCGUUCCCACACUGGGGAUGCACCAUUCCAGUGCCACCAGUGUGAUGCAAAGUUCAAAAUCAACUCUGACCUAAAGAGGCACAUCCGGAUUCACUCCGGUGAAAAGCCCUACAAAUGUGACUUUUGUGAUUACCGCUGUGCCAUGAAGGGCAACCUGAAAUCUCACAUUCAGCUCAAACAUGGCACAGAGAACUCCUUCCAGUGCGUGCACUGUGAUUUCAAAUGUUCCAACAAGACUGCACUGCGGCAGCACUCGCGAGAGCAUCAGCCCAUUCAGCCCAUUCAGUGUUCCAAGUGCACUUACUCCUGCUCCAGCAGGGGGGCGCUGAAAGUCCACGAGAGGAUCCACUCAGAGGAGCGUCCUUUUAAAUGUGACUUCUGCAACUUUGCCUCCAAGCAGCGGAGCAACCUUGUGAUUCACAAAAAGAAGUGCCAGUCGGAAAGGCCCGAAAAAUGCAGCAGUGGGAAAAGUAGCAGAGGUAAAAGUGGAGGAGUUGACUCUCCAAAACCUGUCAGCUCCCGAUAUCGGGCCAAACUAGAUGCAGCUCGAGUUUUCUGCUGCGACUCAUGUAGUGCUUCUUUUGUCAGGGAAGACUCCCUGCGGAGCCACAAGAAGCAGCAUAGAGAGAAAAUUUUGCAACUCCAGCUCCCUGUCCUAACCAAAACUGUCAACUUGGUUCCUGUUACAAUGUCACAGAGUAACACCCAGCUACAAGUUCCUAUUCCUUCUGACUCGAUGGCUCCUUGCAGCAAUGCACAGCUCAAAAUUAUAGUAUCACAUCCUUUGGCCCAGCAGAACCCCUUAAUAUCAGCAGGUGUGGCCAAUCAUAGCAAGACCAACAUGGUCCUUCUAAGCCCAGAAAACCAGGACAUGAUAGUAAACUCCAUGAUCCACCAGGUCAACCUACUAACUCCCCUGCAACACCUCGGGUCGUCUCAAACGGCUGACCCUACCCUUGAACCACAAGCUGUCCUCUUGACGCAGCUCAGUCCCGAAGAUGCUAACAACCCGCUCCACCAGGCCUUGCUGCAGACGGCUAUAACCACUCAGGACUCCAGCAGCAGCACACAAACUUUCAUCACCACCUGCUCUGAGCUGGAAGGCCUCAACGCCUUGAUCCGGGAGGGUGGCACAGAGGUUACAGUGUUGACUGAAGGGAACACAGCUAGGGUGACCACAGUGACACCACCUGAUAUGGCAUGUGGUCCACCAGAGGACAUGUCUGGAUCAGUUUCAGUUGAGGAGGGUGCCUUACCAUCUGAGGAAAGUGCGUUACUGGUGCCAAACAUUGGCGUGGGCAGCGGGAAUGUGGUCAUCCAUGGCGUUCCACUGAUUGUGUCCACUCAUCCACAGCAGAGUACAAUAGAACAGCUCUCUCCUAACACACUUUACUUGGAUUCACACAAACUGGAUGACAUCCCACUGUGAGGGAAUAGUUUGGUGUGUGUUUCUGAAGAUAAAAAGAUUGUAACUCCAUCAUAAGCUAUUUGUUUGCCACGCAAAUGUCUCUCCUGAUGCAGGCUUCUGCAUCUUGUGGCUCAGCAUGGCCGCAAACUCAGAUUUAGUUGUUUACCUGCAGUAAAGUUUCACCUCGGAGCUGGUUUGGGUUUCAGAAAGGUGAAUGUUAAAACCCAUAACUGCAUUUUAAAUGUGCAAAACACAAACCAGUAUGAUGUAUUUGGUAUCAUCUUUUACUUCAUGUUCAGUUUAAUAAAUAGUCUUUUACUCUGUGUUUUCUGCAGUCAUGGAUUGUAAAAUACAUUUACUCAAACAUAAUAGAGAUACCUAGGAUUUAGAUUAUAUGCUAAUGUUUAAUUUGGAUAGCCAUGACAUGAACACUGGAAAUAAAGAGAAAGGGAAAGCGAUAAAGGUACGAUGAACACCACCUUACCCAGCUGUGAAAAUACCUGCUGUAUCCUUUCAAAAUUCAGUUUUAAACAUGUAAGUUGUGUAAAAGGUAAAUUUAAAGAUUGCCAAUAGGCUAAAUGUUGGAGAAACCAGACUUACACUUGUUUCUUAGUUUUUACUGUUACACAUUGGUGUGCAUAAAACCUAUGCUAAUCUAGUUAGCUGUUGGAUUUAGCCUUGUAUGUCAGUACUCAAGAAAACAACUGUCUUACAGUUUAUAGUACUUUGACUUUUUGCUAAUUUAGCAUAUGUAAGAAAUGUAUGUGUUUUUCUAGCUAAUUUUUUCCAGCUAUUUUGACAAAUCCACUUAUUUUCCUUGUCAUUCCCUUCUGAUAUGACACUGCAGCUAGCAUUUGGAUAGCCAAGACAUGACAUGAAUAAUGGAAACAUAACACCCUACCUAGCCAUAAAAGUAAAUUAGUUGGCUUAGGUUUUUUUUAUUUGCAGUUAAUAAUUAUUCAAAACCUCUGCAACAUAAAAAACAACAACUUCUACUUUGUUUUUGGGUCUGGUCUGGGAUAAAUUAUGCUCUUGAUAAGUGCUCCCACAUUUGUAUUCUAAUCACACCAAAGAUCUGUGCUUGCUGUCACUAGUGACCCUUUUGAACAUUGUGUGCAAUUUCAGAG